rnacentral:rRNA from 1 species
UUAAAUGGCCGCGGUAAUUUGACCGUGCUAAGGUAGCAUAAUCAUUAGUUUUUUAAUUGAAAGCUGGAAUGAAUGGUGGGAUGAAAAAAAAUCUGUCUCUUUUUAAUUAUUUGAAAUUUAUAUUUAAGUAAAAAAGCUUAAAUUUUUUUAAAAGACGAGAAGACCCUAUAGAGUUUAAUAAAUUGUAAAAAUUUUAUUAUUUAGUAUUUAAUAUAAAAUAUUUAUUUAUUUAUUUGAUUGGGGUGAUUAAAAAAUUUAAUAAACUUUUUUUUUAUUUUUAUAUAUUUAAUAAAUAAUUGAUCCAAAAUUUUUGAUUAUAAGAUUAAAUUACCUUAGGGAUAACAGCGUAAUUUUAUUGGAGAGUU